UACGUAGGGUGCGAGCGUUGUCCGGAUUUAUUGGGCGUAAAGGGCUCGUAGGCGGUCUGUCGCGUCGGCUGUGAAAACUCAGGGCUUAACCCUGAGCCUGCUUCCGAUACGGGCAGACUAGAGGUAUGCAGGGGAGAACGGAAUUCCUGGUGUAGCGGUGAAAUGCGCAGAUAUCAGGAGGAACACCGGUGGCGAAGGCGGUUCUCUGGGCAUUACCUGACGCUGAGGAGCGAAAGUGUGGGGAGCGAACAGG
rnacentral:rRNA from 1 species